CAAAAAAUAGUUUAAUUGAAAAUAUU
rnacentral:tRNA from 1 species